rnacentral:rRNA from 1 species
GUUAGCUAAGCCAUACAGUGGAUGCCUUGGCUUGAUCGCUGAUGAAGGACAUGGCAAGCUGUGAUAAGCCUUGGUUAGGCGCAUGCAGCCGUAGACCCAAGGAUUUCCGAAUUGCUCCGGAAGGAGCGGGAACGUGGGGAACUGAAACAUCUUAGUACCCACAGGAAAAGAAAUCAAUCGAGAUUCGGUUAGUAGAGGCGAUCGAAAGCCGAACAGAGCAAACUGAAUGCUUUUCCGAAAGGAAAAGUAUAUGUGGUGUGGCCCCAGUUUAAAUCUUCCUUAGAGAAGACGAAGUUAUCUGGAAAGAUACACCUUAGAGGGUGAUAGUCCCGUAGUCGUAAUCUAAGAUGAUUUUCUGGGGUUCGAGAGUAGUGGGCAUUGGAUAUUGCCCAUGAAGGUUGGAGACAUUAACUUCAAACUCUAAAUACGUAUCAAGACCGAUAGCGCACUAGUACCGUGAGGGAAAAUUGAAAAGGAUCCCUGACAGGAGGUGAAAAGAACCUGAAACUGUAUGGCGAUAGAUCGACAUGGCUGUUCGCAGUUAUGUCGUUCGUCUUGAAACAUGAGGCAGGGAGUGUACGUAUGUGGUGAGGUGAAAGCCAAAGCGAAAGCGAUUGUCCGCAGCACCUCGGUGUGAGGGACGUGGUAUGAACUGCCAUUAAUCACAUGCGUACGACCCGAAGCCAAGCGAUCUAACCCGGGGCAGGACGAAGUCUCUCUGCUGAGAGAUGGAGGUCCGUUAGAGGUUCUGGGCUCAAUCCGUUCUCGUGACCCCGGGAUAGGGGUGAAAUGCCAAUCGAGCUUGGCAAUAGCGGGUUCCUCCCGAAAUAGCCCUUAGGCUAGUCUGACCGGAGAUAGACUAUGGAGUAGAGCACUGAUUGAGUAGGUAGGAGGUGAAAGCCUUCACUACUCUGUCAAACUCCGAACCCAUAGUCGUCGUAGAAGGUUGGAAAAGGGGUUGGGGGGUAAGCCCCUGAUCCGAAAGGGAAACAACCCUGCUUGUGGUUAAGGCCCCAAAGUACUAACUAAGUGUAAGCAAAGGCGUCUUAGAUUUAAGACAGUGAGAAGGUUAGCUUAGAAGCAGCUAUCCUCUAAGGAGUGCGUAACAGCCCACUCACCGAAAUCUAAGGCCCUGAAAAUGGACGGGACUAAGUUAGUCGCCGAUACCACAAUGCUCCGAAAGGAGAUCACGUAGGGAGGUGCUUUGCGGGAGUAGAAGCCUUUCUUUAAGGAAAGGUGGAUCCUGCAAAGAUAAGAAUCCUGCCAGUAGUAGCAGCAUAGCGAGGUGAGAAUCCUCGCCACCUGAGGGGCCAGGGUUCCUCAACAAUGUUCAUCAAUUGAGGGUUAGUCGAUCCUAAGACAGAUGUAAUUCAUUCCAAUCGAAAGGGAAACUGGUUAAUAUUCCAGUACCAUGUGGGUACAUGUGGUAACACAAGUUUACUUCCUGACGCUUCGGGGUAGUCUGAGUACAACUGUCGUUGUAUCUAAAUAAGAUAAGGCUGUGGAGUAUUGUAAUAAUGAGAAACAGCCUAAAUUAUGAAUGGUUGCCAUUAGGCAAUUCAGACGAUCCCUGGAGACCGUGAAAAGGGAAGUAAUCGGAUCCCACAUGAUCGUACCAAGAACUGACACAGGUGCCCCUAGGUGAGAAACCUCAGGUGUGUCGAGAUAAUCCGAUCUAGGGAAGUCGGCAAAAUGGCUCCGUAACUUUGGGAUAAGGAGUGCCUACUCAGUGAUGCGUAGGUUGCAAUAACAAAGGGAGUCCGACUGUUUAAUAAAAACAUAGGUCCCUGCAAAUUCGUAAGGAUGUGUACAGGGGCUGAUACCUGCCCAGUGUCGGUACGUGAAAUUCCGAUCCAACGGAAUCAAGCGCCGAUAAACGGCGGGGGUAACUAUGACCCUCUUAAGGUAGCGAAAUGCCUUGCCGCUUAAUUGGCGGCCUGCAUCAACGGUUUAACGAGACUCCCACUGUCCCAGAUCGGAACUCGGUGAACCUACCAUUCUGGCGAACAGGCCAGAGACUUCCAAUGGGACGCGAAGACCCCGUGGAGCUUUACUGCAGCCUGUUGUUGGGUUGUGAUUACGGUUGCGCAGUGUAGGUGGGAGACGGAGAAGUCAUCUCUUCGGGGAUGACGGAGUCGAAAGUGAGACACCACCCUUCCUUGGUUGCAGCCCUAACUCUAUACGAGGACACCAGCAGGUGGGCAGUUCGACUGGGGCGGUACACCGUUGAAACGAUAUCAACGGUAUCUAAUGGUUGGCUCAGAUGGGUCAGAAAUCCAUCGUGGAGGACAAGACCAAAAGCCAGCCUGACCAGAUUUCGAAUAGCAAGAAAUCUGGCCUCGAAAGAGAAGUCUAGCGAACCUCGAUACCCUUUUAAUGGGGGUUCGAGCUGAUGGAAAAGCUACCCCGGGGAUAACUGAGUGGUUGCAGGCAAGAGUACACACACCCUUUCUUUAGGAAAGUUUUCUUUUUGAAAGAAAAGGGUUGGUACAAAUCGACCCUGCAGCUUGCUACUUCGCUGUCGGCUCAUUCCAUCCUGGCCGUGCAGAAGCGGCCAAGGGUGGGGUUGUUCGCCCAUUAAAGGAAUACGUGAGCUGGGUUUAGAACGUCGCGAGACAGUUUGGCGGCAUCUAUUGGAAGUGUUAUCUAUCUGAGGGGAAGAUCCAUUUAGUACGAGAGGAACAAUGGAUCGCAGCCUCUGGUGUACCAGUUGUCUGACAAGGCAGGCUGGGUAGCUACGCUGUAAUCGAUAAAGGCUGAAAGCAUCUAAGCCUGAAACGAUCCCCAAAAAGAGAUAGAUUGGGUUCCUGUAAAAUACAGGUUUGAUAGGCGGGGGGUGUAAGUAU